rnacentral:misc_RNA from 1 species
CGUAGGUGAACCUGCGGAAGGAUCAUUAUUGUAUAACCGAGGUGCGAGGGCUGUCGCUGACCCGAAAGGUCGUGCACGCCCGUGUGCCCUCACACACAUCCAUCUCACCCCUAUGUGCACCACCGCGUGGGUCCCCCUUUGGCUUGUUCGGAGGGGGGCUUACGUUUUCACACAAACUUUGUAUGCAGUGUAGAAUGUAUUUUUUGUUUUUGCGAUCACGCAAUCAAUACAACUUUCAACAACGGAUCUCUUGGCUCUC